rnacentral:rRNA from 1 species
UAAUACGGAGGGUGCGAGCGUUGUCCGGUAUCACUGGGCGUAAAGGGCGCGUAGGUGGCCUCUUAAGUGUGUGGUGAAAGCCCGGGGCUCAACCCCGGGUCGGCCAUGCAAACUGGGGGGCUUGAGCAUUGUAGUGGCAGGCGGAAUUCCGGGUGUAGCGGUGGAAUGCGUAGAGAUCCGGAAGAACACCGGUGGCGAAGGCGGCCUGCUGGGCAAUAGCUGACACUGAGGCGCGACAGCGUGGGGAGCAAACAGGAUUAGAUACCCUGGUAGUCCACGCCGUAAACGAUGGGCACUAGGUGCCUGGGGGAGCGACCCCCUGGGCGCCGUCGCUAACGCAUUAAGUGCCCCGCCUGGGGAGUACGGUCGCAAGGCUG